AUCAGUAUGCAGCAAGAGCCGAACUGCAGUCUCUGAACCACUUCGCCACUGCCAGUUGCCAGUCCAGUUGUGUACUCACAUGUCACUUGUGGUACUUCUUGUUUUAUUCCUAUGCGGUGAGUUCAUCCUCCUUCACUAACUGACUCAUUUAUAUGAGAAGUCACUGAGAGGUUACAAAUUGUGACUAAAAGGAACAACCUGAAAAGCAACAUUUAUUUUGAUGUGUCAAGAAACAGAGGGACAGAAAUACUGCAUGGCAUCUGGAGAGACGAAAGGGAUGAGUUGCGUCAGUUGAAUUGUAGCCACAUAGUUGUAUCCUUCACUGCCUUCGCCCAUUUGAGAUAGCGCCAUUUCUCCUCCUGACAAAUAUUUCACUGUUUUUUUCCCCAGCACCCAUAAUGGGGGAGAUAUCAAAGAUCCUCAGUGCCACCACUGGAGGCUCCGUCCUGAUCCCCUGCUCUUUACCAGUUCCUCCACUGAGUCUCAGAUGGUUUUACUGGCAGGAGGACCAGUCCACCAACAUCUUGUUUCACUGGGACAGUUUCAGUGGGCAAACACAGCCAAUUGCCAACAAAUACAGGGACAGAUGCCAAGUCUUCAGUACUCAGUUUAGUUCUGGAAAUAUUUCCAUUAGACUUGACAAUGUUACUGUUGGAGAUGACAACAAAACAUUCUGGGUCUAUGUACGUUUAAUCGACAAGAAAAACGUCCCCAAACCAUCUGAACAACGUUGCAAAUCCACACUGCAGGUUUCAGCUCCCUACCAACAUCUAGUCCUGACUGUUAACAACACAGCUAACAGAGCAACCUGCACAGCACAUGGAGGAUACCCUGAACCUAAAGUGUCAUGGACGGGUCGAAACAAAUCCAGCAUUGCACAGCUGGACCUGCAGGAUGCUGAGACAUCCCUGCAGCAGGAUCCAACAGAGAAAACCUUCUCAGUCACAAGCUCUGUCAGUAUGAAGGAGUUCCAGUCUGUAACCUGCAUCAUCUUCAACCCUCGCACCAACCAGAGGAUUAAAGGAACUGCAGAGAUCAAUGAUUCUGGUGAAGACCAGACGUAUCAUCAUUUGGCUGUUGGAAUAACUGUAUCUCUCAUCAUCAUCAUCAUCAUCAUCAUCAUCAUCAUCGCAUUCAUUUCAUCAUAUGUGUGCUACAAAAAAAGAAAGAACCAGAGCGAGAUUAUAAAAGAUCUUCACCAGCCCAGCAAUGGACCACUUCAGCUUUGCUCAGGAGAAAUGUUGCUAGUCCAAAACAGAGAGACUGGUCUUUCUUCAGACCAACAGGAUAAAGAACUGUGUAUAUCCUCAAGCACACUGUAA
rnacentral:lncRNA from 15 species